UGGGCAUUGGUCCUGAUGGAAGGAUAU
rnacentral:piRNA from 1 species